UGUGAUGUGAACGGAGGAAGGGAUAGGUUGAUGGCGAUUGGAUUUAUCGGAGUGUCUGUUCUGGUCUCUGGACAGCCUGGAGGCUCCCGUACCUCCUCCCUGAUGGUGGUAAUGAAGAGAGUUUUAUACCCAAUGUCCCAAUCGAUGAAGGCCAAAAGUCAGGAUCAUUUCCAGUCGAGCAAGUACCGGGGUCUGCCAAGUGACUGCAGCUAACGGCAUGGAGAUCAAAUAAUUGACUAAUAGGAGAUCUCUUCCAUCCCAUCACUGACAAUCAUUAAAUCAGAAUCAGGUUAAAUAUCAUUGGCAUAUGUCAUGAAACUUAUUGUCCUUUCAGUAGCAGUACAAUGCGAUACAUAAUGAAGAAAAAGAAAGCCCUUAACUCUGAGUGGAGUCAUCGGGACGCCGUCAUUUUUUUUAAAACAGGCUUUCU